rnacentral:rRNA from 1 species
AGAGUUUGAUCCUGGCUCAGAACGAACGCUGGCGGCGUGCUUAACACAUGCAAGUCGAACGAGAAAGCUUCUUUCGGGAAGUGAGUAGAGUGGCGCACGGGUGAGUAACGCGUAGGUAAUCUACCCUUAUAUUUGGGAUAACAUUGGGAAACUGGUGCUAAUACCGAAUGGUCUUCAUUGCUUUGGGGCGAUGGAGUAAAGGUGGCCUCUUCAUGAAAGCUACCGUGUAGGGAUGAGCCUGCGUACCAUUAGCUAGUAGGUGGGGUAAUGGCCCACCUAGGCUACGAUGGUUAGCGGGUCUGAGAGGAUGAUCCGCCACACUGGAACUGGAACACGGACCAGACUCCUACGGGAGGCAGCAGUGAGGAAUAUUGCGCAAUGGGGGAAACCCUGACGCAGCGACGCCGCGUGAGUGAGGAAGGUUUUCGGAUCGUAAAGCUCUGUCAGAAGGGAAGAAGUGUUAUACAGUUAAUACCUGUAUAAUUUGACGGUACCUUCAGAGGAAGCACCGGCUAACUCCGUGCCAGCAGCCGCGGUAAUACGGAGGGUGCAAGCGUUGUUCGGAUUACUGGGCGUAAGGGCGCGUAGGCGCCUGAUAAGUCAGAUGUGAAGCCACGGCCCACCGUGGAGUGCUUUGAACUGUCAGCUUGAUAUCGGAGGGGAUGGGAUUCCGGGAGAGUGAAUCGAGAGUCGGAGGACACGGGGCAAGCGCAUCUGGCGAUAUGCGUGAGCCGAACGGGGACAACAGAUA